GAUUUCUGGUGUCGUCCUUAGCUACCGGCCACGGUUUCGUGUGUCAGUGUGGCCAAGGCACACCAUCCAUCUGUAUACCGUAUUACUGCUCUUCAUUGCGUGGUAGUAUGGUGCAGAUCUUUUACUUUGAAAAAAUUAGAGUGUUUCAAGCAGGCUUAAUGCUAUGAAUACAUUAGCAUGGAAUAAUAAUUUAGGACUUCGGUUCUAUUUUGUUGGUUUCGCGGACUGAAGUAAUGAUUGAUAGGGAUAGUUGGGGGUGCUAGUAUUCAGCGGCCAGAGGUGAAAUUCUCGGAUUCGCUGAAGACUAACUUAUGCGAAAGCAUU
rnacentral:rRNA from 1 species